rnacentral:rRNA from 1 species
CAUUGAACGCUGGCGGCAGGCCUAACACAUGCAAGUCGAGCGGUAGCACAAGGGAGCUUGCCCCCUGGGUGACGAGCGGCGGACGGGUGAGUAAUGUCUGGGGAUCUGCCUGAUGGAGGGAGAUAACUACUGGAAACGGUAGCUAAUACCGCAUAACGUCGCAAGACCAAAGUGGGGGACCUUAGGGCCUCAUGCCAUCGGAUGAACCCAGAUGGGAUUAGCUAGUAGGUGGGGUAAUGGCUCACCUAGGCGACGAUCCCUAGCUGGUCUGAGUAUUAUGACCAGCCACACUGGAACUGAGACACGGUCCAGACUCCUACGGGAGGCAGCAGUGGGGAAUAUUGCACAAUGGGCGCAAGCCUGAUGCAGCCAUGCCGCGUGUGUGAAGAAGGCCUUAGGGUUGUAAAGCACUUUCAGCGAGGAGGAAGGAUGAAGUGUUAAUAGCACUUGAUAUUGACGUUACUCGCAGAAGAAGCACCGGCUAACUCCGUGCCAGCAGCCGCGAUAAUACGGAGGGUGCAAGCGUCUUACCUACUCUUGACAUCCAGAGAAUUAGCCAGAGAUGGCUGAGUGCCUUCGGGAGCUCUGAGACAGGUGCUGCAUGGCUGUCGUCAGCUCGUGUUGUGAAAUGUUGGGUUAAGUCCCGCAACGAGCGCAACCCUUAUCCUUUGUUGCCAGCGAUUCGGUCGGGAACUCAAAGGAGACUGCCGGUGAUAAACCGGAGGAAGGUGGGGAUGACGUCAAGUCAUCAUGGCCCUUACGAGUAGGGCUACACACGUGCUACAAUGGCGUAUACAAAGAGAAGCGAGCCUGCGAGGGGAAGCGGACCUCAUAAAGUACGUCGUAGUCCGGAUUGGAGUCUGCAACUCGACUCCAUGAAGUCGGAAUCGCUAGUAAUCGUAGAUCAGAAUGCUACGGUGAAUACGUUCCCGGGCCUUGUACACACCGCCCGUCACACCAUGGGAGUGGGUUGCAAAAGAAGUAGGUAGCUUAACCUUCGGGAGGGCGCUUACCACUUUGUGGUUCAU